rnacentral:rRNA from 1 species
AUGGUGUCACACAUUGCUUGGCAAUGGUUACUGAGGUUUCUAUCGAUGAUGAAUACCAGAAGGGCUUCAGAGAUAGUCAAAGUUGAAAAUAAUAUUGAUUUGGAAGAAGAUUUGAACAAACUCAAACAUGCAAUAUUUCUCAAUAAUAUCACCACAAACAUAUGUGUAUGGAAAGCACUUACCUUCGAUGCACACAUGAAUGAAAAUUUCACAAUAAUCAAGUCGCUCUUAGCCCCCACAAAUCUGGGUGAGGAUAUUUGCGGUAUGUGUGUUAAGCAGGAUGGGGGGUGUUUGGCUUCUUUCAUAGAACAAUUACUUUUGGUUAAGCUUAAUCAAUCACAAGUGGAUGCUAUUGAAUCUGUCAUCUCAGUUGUACAAUGUGGGCAUGUGAACCUCAUGAAGCUUAUAUGGGGUCCACCAGGCACUGGAAAAACCAAGACGGUUAGCACUUUACUGUGGGUCUUGGCGUGUUUGAAAUGCAGAACUCUUACUUGUGCUCCCACAAAUGUUGCUGUUGUUGGAGUUUGCACUCGUUUCCUUCAAAACUUGAAGGAUUUCAAUCAGCGCACUAACAACAUUGGUCUGCCUUCUUCUCUUGGAGAUAUCUUGUUAUUGGGAAGCAGGUCUAACAUGGACAUCACCAAGGAUCUUUAG